rnacentral:rRNA from 1 species
CUAAGUUUGAUGGCGACCGGCGCACGGGUGAGUAACACGUAUCCAACCUGCCGAUGACUCGGGGAUAGCCUUUCGAAAGAAAGAUUAAUACCCGAUAGCAUAAUGAUUCCGCAUGGUUUCAUUAUUAAAGGAUUCCGGUAAAGGAUGGGGAUGCGUUCCAUUAGGUUGUUGGUGGGGUAACGGCCCACCAAGCCUUCGAUGGAUAGGGGUUCUGAGAGGAAGGUCCCCCACAUUGGAACUGAGACACGGUCCAAACUCCUACGGGAGGCAGCAUG